GAUGAACGCUGGCGGCGUGCCUAAUACAUGCAAGUCGAGCGAACAGAUAAGGAGCUUGCUCCUUUGACGUUAGCGGCGGACGGGUGAGUAACACGUGGGUAACCUACCUAUAAGACUGGAAUAACUCCGGGAAACCGGGGCUAAUGCCGGAUAACAUUUAGAACCGCAUGGUUCUAAAGUGAAAGAUGGUUUUGCUAUCACUUAUAGAUGGACCCGCGCCGUAUUAGCUAGUUGGUAAGGUAACGGCUUACCAAGGCAACGAUACGUAGCCGACCUGGGAGGGUGAUCGGCCACACUGGAACUGAGACACGGUCCAGACUCCUACGGGAGGCAGCAGUAGGGAAUCUUCCGCAACGGGCGAAAGCCUGACGGAGCAACGCCGCGUGAGUGAUGAAGGUCUUCGGAUCGUAAAACUCUGUUAUUAGGGAAGAACAAAUGUGUAAGUAACUGUGCACGUCUUGACGGUACCUAAUCAGAAAGCCACGGCUAACUACGUG
rnacentral:rRNA from 1 species